rnacentral:rRNA from 1 species
AGAGCGCAGGGUGGAUGCCUUGGCACUAAGAGCCGAAGAAAGACGUGAUAAGCUGCGAAAAGCUGCGGGGAGAUGCAAAUAAUCCUUGAUCCGCAGAUGUCUGAAUGGGGAAACCCGGUACGAAGAACUCGUAUCAUCCAUACGCCAAUCCAUAACGUAUGGAGGGGAACCCGGUGAACUGAAACAUCUAAGUAGCCGGAGGAAGAGAAAGAAACAUCGAUUUUGUUAGUAGCGGCGAGCGAAAGCGAAAGAGGCCAAACCGGAGUGCGUGCACUCCGGGGUUCGGACCGCAUUUAAGAUUCAGUGAUUCUAGCAGAAAGGUUUGGGAAAGCCUGCCGGAGAGGGUGAAAGCCCCGUAAGCGAAAGGAGAGCUGACUGAGCGGAAUCCAGAGUACAUCGAGACACGAGAAACCUUGAUGGAAAGAGCGGGGACCACCCCGUAAGCCUAAAUACUACUUAGUGACCGAUAGCGCAUAGUACUGUGAAGGAAAGGUGAAAAGGACCCCGGGAGGGGAGUGAAAGAGAACCUGAAACCCUGUGUUUACAAGCUGUGGAAGUUCUUUAAAUGAACAACCGCGUACUUUUUGUAGAACGGUCCGGCGAGUUGCGGAUACUGGCAAGGUUAAGCACUUAAGGUGCGGAGCCGAAGGGAUACCAAGUCUUAACAGGGCGUUAAGUCAGUAUACGCAGACCCGAAACCGGGUGAUCUAUCCAUGUCCAGGUUGAAGUUGCCGUAAAAGGCAAUGGAGGACCGAACCCACAUCCGUUGAAAAGGGUGGGGAUGAGGUGUGGAUAGGGGAGAAAUUCCAAUCGAACCCGGAGAUAGCUGGUUCUCCUCGAAAUAGCUUUAGGGCUAGCCUCGAUUUAGUCUUAUGGAGGUAGAGCACUGAAUUUCCGCGGGGGCGUCAAAGCUUACCAAAGAAUAUCAAACUCCGAAUGCCAUGUAGAUGAUGAAUGGGAGUCAGACUGCACGAGAUAAGUUGGGCAGUCAAAAGGGAAAGAGCCCAGACCACCGGCUAAGGUCCCAAAGUGCGUGUUAAGUGGAAAAGGAUGUGGGAAUUCGAAGACAACUAGGAUGUUGGCUCAGAAGCAGCCAUACAUUCAAAGAGUGCGUAACAGCUCACUAGUCGAGAGUUCCUGCGCCGAAAAUGUCCGGGGCUGAAACACGACACCGAAGCCGUGGACUCGCAAUGCGAGUGGUAGAGGAGCAUUCUUAAAACCGACGAAGCUGUACCGAAAGGAGCAGUGGAGGGAUAAGAAGAGAGAAUGCCGGAAUGAGUAGCGAGAGAAAGGUGGGAAUCCUUUCGGCCGAAUAUCUAAGGUUUCCAGAGUAAAGCUGAUCUGCUCUGGGUAAGUCGGGGCCUAAGCACAGGUCGCAAGACGUAAGCGAUGGAUAACAGGUUUAGAUUCCUGUACCACGCAUUAUCAGAACUGUAGGGACGCAUGUGGAAAGCACGGGCCGGGAAUGGAAAGACCGGUACAAGCGGGGUAGGUGUACGAUAGGCAAAUCCGUCGUAUAAUCCGAAGACGUGAUGUGGAGCGAAAUAAAGUAGUGAAGCGUGUGAGCCAUGUGCCGAGAAAAGCUGCUAUUGUGUAAUGCGUGCCCGUACCGUAAACCGACACAGGUGGAUGAGGAGAGAAUCCUAAGGCCGACGGAAGAAGCAUUGUUAAGGAAUUCGGCAAAAUGACCCCGUAACUUCGGGAGAAGGGGUGCCUGCGAGAGCAGGCCGCAGAGAAUAGGCUCAAGCAACUGUUUAGCAAAAACACAGGUCUAUGCGAAACCGAAAGGUGAAGUAUAUGGGCUGACGCCUGCCCGGUGCUGGAAGGUUAAGAGGAGAGGUUAGCUUCGGCGAAGCUUUGAAUUUAAGCCCCAGUAAACGGCGGCCGUAACUAUAACGGUCCUAAGGUAGCGAAAUUCCUUGUCGGGUAAGUUCCGACCCGCAUGAAAGGCGUAAUGAUUUGGGCACUGUCUCAACGAGGGGCCCGGUGAAAUUGAAAUACCUGUGAAGAUGCAGGUUACCCGCGACUGGACAGAAAGACCCCAUGGAGCUUCACUGCAGCUUGAGAUUGAAUCCCGGUGACAUAUGCACAGGAUAGGUGGGAGGCUAAGAAGUAAUGCCUUUGGGUGUUACAGAGCCGAUGUUGGGAUACCACCCUUAUGUUGCUGAGAUUCUAACACGGAGACUAACAACCUCGUGGACCAUCUCAGGCAGGCGGUUUGACUGGGGCGGUCGCCUCCUAAAAUGUAACGGAGGCGCCCAAAGGUUCCCUCAGGCCGGACAGAAACCGGCCGAAGAGUGCAAAGGCAGAAGGGAGCUUGACUGCGAGACAGACAAGUCGAGCAGAGACGAAAGUCGGGCUUAGUGAUCCGGUGGUACUGAGUGGAAAGGCCAUCGCUCAACGGAUAAAAGCUACCCUGGGGAUAACAGGCUAAUCUCUCCCAAGAGUUCAUAUCGACGGGGAGGUUUGGCACCUCGAUGUCGGCUCAUCACAUCCUGGAGCUGGAGUAGGUUCCAAGGGUUGGGCUGUUCGCCCAUUAAAGUGGUACGCGAGCUGGGUUCAAAACGUCGUGAGACAGUUUGGUUCAUAUCCAUCGCGGGCGCAAGAAGUUUGAGGGAGGCUGCUCCUAGUACGAGAGGACCGGAGUGGACGGAUCAACGGUGUACCAGUUGUCACGCCAGUGGCACGGCUGGAAAGCCGCAUCCGGAAAGGAUAAACGCUGAAAGCAUCUAAGCGUGAAGCCCGUCCCGAGAUGAGACUUCU